rnacentral:rRNA from 1 species
GAGACAGCAGCCGCCGCGGUAACACCGAGGGUGCGAGCGUUAAUCGGAUUUACUGUGCGUAAAGCGUGCGUAGGCGGCUUCUUAAGUCGGAUGUGAAAUCCCUUAGCUUAACUUAGGAAUUGCAUUCGAUACUGGGAAGCUAGAGUAUGGGAGAGGAUGGUAGAAUUCCAGGUGUAGCGGUGAAAUGCGUAGAGAUCUGGAGGAAUACCGAUUGCGAAGGCAGCCAUCUGGCCUAAUACUGACGCUGAGGUACGAAAGCAUGGGGAGCAAACAGGAUUAGAUACCCCCGUAGUCCCUGUCUCUUAUAC